ACACGCAUGCACAUACAUACACACACCUAAGUCCCCGCCCGUCCUCUUUCCCCCCCCAAUACCCACGGUGUCCCACUCCUCCUGCGUCAUGAGCCCCUGCUCCACAAUCUCCUUCGGACUGAUGGGCACAUCGUGAUCCUCGGCCUUGGUGGUGGGGGUGAUGACGUUGGCGACCAGCCGGUCGUUCUUCCUCAUGCCAUCGGGGAAGCUGUUGCCGCAGUACUGGCGGGCGCCCGCCUUGUAGUGGGUCCACAGACUGGUGUCAGUAGAGCCUGUUUAGGAAACGGUUUGGGUUGGAAACGCAAAAAGAGAAACCACCGCCGGGGGCCUCCGGACGUCUCCCCCCGUCAGGGGCCGCCUAGGAGCAAUAUUGGUACAAAUGCCGAUGUACCAAGUACCGACGUGCCCAGAAGUGGAAUGCACAUGUCGAUUCCAGCUGCCCUAACCCCCCCCCCCACCACCCCCCUAGCAACCCCCCUCCCCAGCCCCCUUAGCCACACACCACCCACCCCCCUAGCCACACACCACCCACCCGUCAUGAAGCCACGGCAAACGAACUCCACUGGGAAGACCCGGCACUUCUUCAUGACCGCCACGUUGGGGUCGGGCAGGGUGAGCAGGGCGGAGGGGACGAUGUGGGAGGUGGCGGAGAACCACCAGGCGGCGGUCUGGUUGAGAACCUGUGGAGUGGGGGAGUGGGGGGUGUGGAGGGGUCUAGGGUGCAGGGGCCUAGGGUGGAGGGGGUUUCAUGAGGAGUCAACCAGACCAGGGGCCUAUGUGGGGGGUGAUCAGACAACGUUAUUGGGGGGGGAGUAGCGCUAAGGCCCGGCCGCCCACCCGGGGUCCUCAGGUAGACCGUGAGGAGGUGGGUUUCUAGUCAGUGAAUGGGCCGCGAGCAGCAUCAGCAUCAGCCGUAGCAUCGGCCCCCUCCCUUCCAAGCAACCGCGAUAUUUGCAUUCAGUUCACGUCCGGGCCACUGUUUCCUUGCCUGUCUCACGGCUAUCCUCCCACCCUCCGCCCUCUGCCGGGUUCCCUCCGCCACUCGUGCUCUAACUUCCUUCCCCCACACCAACACCGUCCGAUAUUACGCCUAAAGACGCCCCCGGACUGUCGUUCCCCCGCCCCUCCCGACGUCGACAGUCCAUCACUUGUUCCUUGCAAUCCAAUUCCCCCUCCCCCUCCCCCUCAAAUUUCAAAUCAGCCAGCCAGCUACUAGUAUUCCUCAGCAGCAUUUGCAUGUCCCCCUGUCCUUUAUCGCACCCGCCUCACCUCUUUGUUACCCUUUUGUUUUUGCAUGUGUCUUUUGCCACUACUUCGGCGGCCUGGCCAGGUGAGUCCAAAAGGUGGUUCGAGCUUCUUUGGUAUUUCGCGUUGGCGUCGGUAGGCUAGCCGGAAUAGUUUAGUUUGGGUCGGUCGGGUCAGUCGCGCGUUCUAGUUUUUUUGGGGGGUUGGGAGGAACACUUGCAUACCGGCAGCCUUUCAGUAUCAGCAAUGCAGCUUUCUCUCCCAGCCAGCAACUUUACGCCACUUUUACGUCAGCAUUUUUUUCUCGCCGCCUUUACUACUUCUUCUACACCUACUAGUUUACGGUCUGGCUAUAAUAUUUCUGGCGGCUUAGGUAGGUAGGACUUCCAACAUCUACGUCAAUUCUUCAUCCCGAGGUUACAGUCGUCAUCCCGAGGUUACAGUCGUCACAGUCGCCACGGACGCCUUUCGGUCAGUUCUUUCGGUUGCUACUAUCUUGCCCUGGCAGCAGCUUCAAUCGCGUGUGGUUCGUCUUUCCCCCUCCCCCUCCCACACCCCGCCCUGUGUGGCCCCGCCCCCGGGUCCCCAUACCGCUCACCUGGCCCUUAAACGGCACGGACGCCAGCAGCCUGUCGAACGCCGACUGGCGGUCCGUGGUCACAAUGACCACCCGGUCACCCAGGUCAUACGUGUCGCGAACCUUACCCUGAGGCGAUGAAAGGGGAGAGGAAGAGGGGGCCAGGGGGGGGGGGAAAGGGCCGCCGACAGCAGCCCAGGGUGCCUCAGGGGUUGCCCCGGCAGCUGGCAACAAGAGGAGGAAGCGGCAGGCAAAGGAAGAUACGGUCUGUACACAUGGGGUGGAAAGGCCCCUGCUGCUAAAACCCUAAAACCCUAACACCUCCGCCCCGUUGUUACCUGCUCCAUUCACCAGUGGUUCGUCUUACCCCCCUUUCCCCGUGCGCAAGCCCCCCCCUUCAUCGUCUUCCCCGCCACAGGUCCCACUGCGGAGGAGCUCGGGAGGCCGUGAGGACUCGAUCCCCCUACCUCGGGGGAUUUCCAACUGGGCUUCCAGAGCCUAGAGGCCUAGAGGCACCGCCUUGGCUCUCAAGCGAGGCCAGUGCCCCACGUGGGCCCCAAGGGGGGGAGAUGGUCCCCGGGGACGCCCCGGCAGAGGCCCCCGGCAGCCCAGAGAUCUGCCCCCAUCUCUCUCCCCCCCAGCCCUGACCACUUUCACCCGUCAGUGUCGCACCUGACGACGGUUGGGCAGAGGAAGGUCUGUAGCAGUAAGGCAGUUGUUCUGAGCCUGGGACACAUGGGCAUCAGAGGGAUGUCGGAGUAUAAAUGUUUAGUUUGGCAACCAAAUGAAAGCAUGAGGAUGAAGCCUACCUUGGCAAUGGCCUCAACGACCUCCGGCCGCACGCCGCUGAUUGACUCCACUGCCCUACAGGCAGCAAGUUGUAGGAGCGGAUUGGACGCGUCAGUGCGGGAGAAGGUCAAGAAUGAGGGCGCAAUUUAAUUGAAUCGUUUACUGCAGGUUGGCGUAUGGUAAGGGGGGCACGAUGAGAGCUCUGUCCACGUGUUUCUUAGGCGUGACUAAGGACCGACCCGAAAGCCAUUGACAGCUCCCAUUAGAUAAGCUGUAAAAUCGCCUCUAGAUAUAUUUAAUUGUUUGGCAGCACCGACGCACGGGCUGUCUUCUGGACUUACGGUGAAGAAGCUGCCUGGGCACGUAAGACUAGCACACGGCGGCCAUUUGCAGCUCCGACACACGCUUUCCCUGAGCAGCGUGCCGGACGCUUUGCCAAUGACUGCAUUUAAAUAGUUGUUGGCAAGAAAAGCAGUAACUCCAGCAGUCGGCUUGAGCAGGUUCAACUCCGGGAAAACGUGCUGCGGCGCGUGCUUAAGAAGGCUGUGCGUUUAGAGUCGCUUAAGCACAGUCAGGAGGAAUAAGUAUACGUGCCCACUGCAAAAGGAAAACAAUUGUUUGCGCAUAGAUAACUCCCUUGCCCAGCUGCACGUGCAAGACCGCCGUACGUGUGUUUGCUGUACCAGUACGUUGGUUAAGUUUGUUGACCCCUUUCGACAACACUGGUGCGUAAACCGAAAGACACUUGCUAGUAUCAUUAUGGCUUUCGGCACACAACAAAUUAAAUGAUAAUGUGGUGUUAAAGGACUACAUUUGAUUUUCUCUGUUUUGAUUUUCCAUGCAAAAUGUUCUAGCUCUUUUAACAAUAGAAUAACGAAUAUUGAAGGGGCAGAGAUUGUACUCACCUGUUUGAAAUAAGCUGCUAUGUAAACUGCUCCUACAGGCAGAUGGGAUACAUGGCUACCGCAGGAGCUAGAUAUAAUGGAUGAUAAAAGGUGGGAACCCAAGUCAUGAGGAUCGUAUAACGUCAUAGUAUCUACCUCUUCUACCAGCAUCUAAGUGUGCAUGGUAUGGCUUUGGUCUGAGCGUAGGCUCCUGGACGGGCUUGUUGCAUUAGAAGGCUUCAUUCUACCGCCAAAACACCCUCCCCCAAGGGAAGAAGGCCGGCGGUCAGGAACCUCUGAACCAUCGGGUGCUCAUAAGCUCAGCUCAGGCCAGGAGCCGACGACCAUCACAAACCUUAUACCGUCUUCUCAGAUAAAGGAUGAUUAUGGAGCUUGCGCAACUUCAGGGCAGUCGACAGUUAGUGGUUGGCAUCUAUCCAGCGUGCCGCCCAUGCCCGCUGGGGCUCCCACCCUUGCUUUCUUUCUGCAGCUCCCAGCAACCUCUGACCAUGCUUUCUCUGCAGCAUUAAUUCCACAAUCGCAGCCACAAAAUACUUGCCAAUAUGGGCAACGGGUGUUACAUUCGACCGCCGAUGCUCAGCGCCCUAGAUCCGCAGUGCCUCCAGAGCGUCAAGUUCUGAGAUUGGCGACAACAACUGGGAGCUCGUUCCCGGCGGAGCCUACAAACUCUGCAGCAGCGAGCGAGGCUGCUAACAGGUUCGACCCUAGCUUCCUGCAAAAGGCAGUUCUCCUCCUCACCUUCAAAUCGCCAGCAGCCACACAUGCCGCCCUGGCCAGGCUUCACUCUGCGGCUCUGGCCACUCAGGGGCGAGCAGCACUGGCGGCCAUACAGCCCGUAGCCCUAGUCGCUCGGGUUUUCGCCAAUGCAGCUGCAGCAGGUGACUACACCACCGGCGAGCGGGCAGCAAUCGUGCUGCUGGCGCUGCUCACAAACGCGCAGCUAAAGUUGCCCAAGGACGUGGCGGGGCCCGUCAUCAUCCCCACAGCGGUGCUACUCCUGGGCGGCAGCGGCGCCGCUGCCACGGCAGGCGCGGCUGCCGUCGCUGCAGCGGCAGCAGCGGCAGACGCGGACGGCACGCUGAGCAGCACCGGCCUGCACGUGCGGCUACAGACCUAUCCCACGGCGGCGAUGUUUCCGUCAGGAGUACUGCCGCCUGCCGCCAUUGUACGCUCCCCCCCAUGGUUCGCCCGCAGCAGCUCCCCCUAUCAGUUGCCGGCUCGCGGCUGCCCGACUGCUGCUCCACCUGGCGACUUCCCCCUCUUUCCCCGGGGAUGGCUCGCCAGAUACAAACGCCCCCAUCCGGGGAGCCGGAGGCGGAACCGGAGCCAGUGCCCGCCUCCAGCAGCCAAACCCCAUCCCAGGCCGGGGGCCAGCAUGUGAUAGGCUGGUGUCUGCCGGCGCACUAGAGGCAUGCUGCGAGGCGCUCAACGUGUCCGUGGGCUCGGUAACUGCCGGGGCACCGGAGCUGGUGUGCCUCACACUCCAGCUGCUAGCGGCGCUGACGGCCGACGUGACGGGUUGGCCCUGGCAGUGGCCCGUGGUUCGCGCCGCGGUAGUGGAUGGGUGCGCGCGGCACGCGGUGGCGCUCAUGCAGCUUCUGGACGGCGGCGACGGCAGCAGCGACUGGUGUGGUAGUGGCGGUGUUGAGGGUGGCGGCGCAGAUGUGGGCGUAGGCUUUCUGGGGUCCGGCAUGAGGGUGGAGGCGGAAGCCCACGCAGCGGCGCGGAGCGUCGUGGUUCACUUCGCCCGCGGCCCGCUGCUGGUCCGGGAGGCGCUGUUCCGGGCGGGGGCCUUGUCGGCCGUGGUGGAGGCCAUCAUGAUGUGGCCACCGCCGCCGCCGUCCUCAGCACGCGGCUCUUCCGGCCCCACGAGGCGACCUCCCUCCGCGGCGACCUCCGCGGGCCGCAGCCGGCUGCUGCACUUCUCACUGUGCCUGGGGGUGCUGCUGAACCUGUCCUCCCUUCCCCGGGUGCGGGCGGUGCUGACGACUCCUGCGCUCGGGGCGCUUCUGCGGCACCUGCUAGGCCUACUGGAGCAACAUCAGUCUUGGGACGGCCAUGUGCGGGGGGGAGGCGCGGCUGCGGCUGCGGCUAUUGUUGGGGCGCAGCAGGAGCAGCCACUGCUCGGGGAGGGCGGUGCGGCGGCGGCGGUGCCGACAGCGGCUGAAGCGGAGCUUGCGGCGGCUGAUCGCAUUCCGUUGCCGGACAUCCACAGCACGCUUCUGGAGCUGCUGUUGAACCUCGCGUUGGACCCGCAAUGCCACCCGGGGCUGGCGGCGCAGGGCGUGGAGGCGCUGCUGGUUCGCUGCAUCGCGGCUGAGCAGCAGGUACGGCUGGAUCCUGGAUCCGACCAGCAUCAGCCUGACAGUCCCGCCGGCCUCCGUACGGAGAAGGAAAAGCAUGGGGAGGGGGGGAAAGAACCAACAUGCGUAUCACGCCAGCCGCCUCCUGCUCCUUACCACCACCAGUAUCAGCAGCCGCAGUUCUACCAGCAGCCGUGGAGAGCGGCGGCAGCGCUCCGUCUCGUGGCGGCUCUCUCCGCCGACUCACGGCUCUCCGCGCCGCGGCCGGUGAUGCAACUGGGCCUCGCAUCGGUCGGGGCCGUUGAGGUGGUUGCACUCGAGGUUCAGUCCGCGAGUAAGGCCCUGCCAGCUGCCGGCGCCGCUGCAGCGUACGACCUGGCUGUGACGGCGCUCUGUGCGCUCAUGACGGGCAACGGCGAGCUGCAGCGGUGCGUGGCCGGCAUGCCGGAGUUGCUGACGGCGCUGUCGGCCGUGUUGCCGCAGCCGGCGGUGACGUCCAGUGACUCGCGGCUGCGGAUAACUCUGACAGCCUGGCGCCUGACCACCUCUCCACUCACAGCUCCCGGGGCGGAUGAGGCCAUAGCUCGAAGCCUGCUGGUGGGCCUGGGCCAUAACCCCGAGGCGGUGAUGUACGGCACGUCUGGCGUCCAGGGUGGCGGCGGCGGGGGCGGCUCUCUCUUCGUCAUGCACGGUGACAAGAGUCGGGCGCUGUCGUACGACCCGGCGGCGCGGCCUUCGAAGCGUCAGCACCGGCAGUCAGUCCUGCUUGCGGCGUCUGAGCUACACAGCCGGCUCGGUGACGGCGGCGGCGGCGACAGCUCCCCUGUACACCACCACCGGACGCCCGCCCUGGGGAGCCGACGUUCCUUCGAACUACAGGUCUCCGAGAUUGAGCGAGGAACUGGACCUCUGGUGCCUACAGCAGUGUCCGCCGUGAUCGCGACCAACACCGCCAACAACAGGCCACCGACGUCGUCCGCAGCAGCAAAGGCCGCGGCGGCGGCGGGAGCUGGCAGUGUCGCAUCCGCCGCCGCCGCGUCUCCGCCGUUGUGGACUGGGCCGCUCCUUCCCGGCACCCCCCUGCCCCCCCCCGGCGCCCCCCCCCCCGACGUGUCCCCCCUCCAGCUGCCCAGCUGCGUGGUGCCCGUGGUGUCGUCGGAGAGCCGGCCGCCGAGCUCCCGUGGAGAGGGGGCUGGGGAGGGACGGGUUGGCAGGUGAGGAGAGGCAGGGGGACAGGCGAACCACAGACGAGUGAUGCUGCUGGUACCAGAGAUAGGCGCAUACCCUGCAGGACUAGACAGAUGCUGCAGGCGGCCGGGGGGACUGACUGCCGCUGGGGCUCCCUGACGUUGUGCACUGUGUGUUUUGGAGUGGGGGGUUCUCACUGCUGGUGGCCGUGGCAGGACGAGGGGAGGGCUGCGGGCGGUCUGGAGACCCCGUGUGUCUGACGGCUCUCACGAGGCGCUGCUGCACAUGAGCGCAGUAGUGCCGCUCUUGUCCUGUGUGGCCGUCACCACUAGGCCGCCAGCUUGCGAUGUGGGGGUGUGGCGCAGCGGCGCGUGCAGAGCCUGACUUUGAGAUAGAAGUGACGACAUGGAAACAGACUGGCCACGCAUGCAGCAAGUGAUGGAGACGUAGCGAACGGUCACGUAGCCCCAACAAGCCCUAAGUCCCUGCGUACCACAACCUUCACGGCGGUGUGUGUUGUUCCGAUUUGCAGCAGGUCCGUUUCAAGGUCCACUUCGAGGCCCGUGUCCAGGACCAGCCGACCGGCAAGCCAGGCUGUCGCCGCGGAGGCGCCCGGAAGCAAGCCACCGCCACCGCCGCCGCCUCAUCGCUCUGUUUUCUUUACCUCCGACAGCGACGAUAACGGCUGUGGCGGGGCGGCGGCGGUCCCGUCAGCCGGCGGUGACGUAAUCGGCAUGGGGCUUAUCGCCAAGCCCGGGUCGCAUGGCUUGGCGGUGAUGCCACCAGCGUCAGCGACGGCGGCAGGAAAGUGUACGGCAGCAGGAGUAAUGCUGUUUCCAUUGCCGCCGGAUGGCUCAGUGGCGGAGCCUCCCGUACUGACGAGCCUUCCCGGGGAGUUGUUGCCGUCGCCGGCAGACGAGGGAUACUCGCGUGCGGGAGGAGAUGCCGGCAGCAACAGCAGCAGCCAGCGGCACCGGCGGAGCAGUGGUGGCGGCGGCGGCGGCGGCGGCGGGCCCCAGACGCCGCCCCGUUCUAUUGGCGCCCAGCGGAGGUCCUCCUCCAACUGCGAGACCGGGGCCUGCGGUGAAGUCCCCCCUUGCGCGGCUGCACCUGCUGACCAGCCCUUCACCACCACCACCACCACCACCAUCACCACUAGCCUCCAUCCGGCACUGGCGGCGCACUCCGUUCCCCGCACCCCCUCGUCUCCGCGGCUGGCAGUAGCAGCAUGUGGCCCUCAAGAGCAGCAAGCCGCCGCCGCCGCUGCGAAGGAAGCCACCGCCGCCAGAGCACCAGCACCAGCUACAGCGCCAGGCAAAGGUGCAGGCGGCGAUGUACAUACAGGUGACGACGUAUCGCCGCUACUGCCGCCGUCCUAUCCCCAGAAGGGGACGGACCAGCUGCUGCCCGCCGCGGCGGUGACCCCCGCGUUGGAGAUGGCGCCGCCACUGCUGUGCCUGGUGACGCACCUUCAGGCGCUGCUGGCCCGACCCGCCUGCCGCGCGGUGGCGGCGCUGGUGCUGGUGCAGCUGGCGCAGCUGGAGGUUGUACGGCGCAGUGCCGUCAUGGCGGCGGGCUGGGGGGCCCUCCUGGAGGCCGUCACAUCCAGUCUCAUGGGCGGCCCUGGGGCGGAGCGAGGAGGAGGAGGAAUCACAGAGUAAGGGCUGGGGACUGCAAGCGGGGGCAGGGGAGUGAUUUGGGCGGGGGAAAGGCGGGUUGUACAACACAGUGGUCUGUUGGGGUAAGUUGGGGAAUGAAGGGGGCCUCUCAGCGCACGGUGAUGUAGGCGGUGAUGUAGGCGAAGAAAGCAAACCGUUGGACGCACCUCUGCUCCUGCAACCUUUACCUUUCCAAGCUGUGUGCGCGCCCCUCUCUAAGGGGCAGUAAGGGACCCCCAGAGGAACCCCGUGCCGCUGAGCCAGGGGGCCAUUGGCGAGCGCCCCGUCUCGCACGCGCUCCUCCCGACCUUCAUGCCUUGCCGUCCUCUCCCUCUUCACCUCCCUCGAGCAGAUCGGAAGAGGGCCAGCCGCUCCUCUAUUCCGGUUUUUCCGCCACCGCCUCCGCCCCCUCCGCCGCCUCGACGGGCCUUCCCAAUCACCCCCGGGACAAGCUGGCCCUCCUGGAGGUGCUGGUGGUGGCGGCGGGGGGCUCCGCGGGGGAGGGCCGCUCCGCCCUCACCUCCCCGCCCGUCGUCUUGGCGCUGUGCGACCUGGCAUGCGGGUGGGGCAGCCUGGCAGCCAGCCUAGCCCGCCGGGAAGACACCCUCUGCUCCCAGCCCGGUCGCGGAUUGGCACCGACGGCCGCGAGGUCCCGCGCCUGGCCAUUGCAUAGCCAGCACUACCACUACCGCCACCAUCACCAUCAUAAGAGCGGAACCGGCGGCGGCGGCGGGGGGGUAGCUGACAGCAGCCGCCAGCAGCAGCACAGCAGCAGUUAAGGCAGCUGCUGUGUACGGAGCCUUAUCUGACUCGCGGCCGGACUUUGGCGAUGGAGAUCUUGGGCGAGUUGCUCAAGGCGGGGGGGGAGGCGCAGGUGGCGGCUCAGAUGCAGGUGGGGAGGAGGGCAGGUGGGGAGGGGUGAGGGGAAGGGAAGGGGGGGAAGAGGGAGGGGUGAGGGGAAGGGAGGGGGGGGAAGAGGGAGGGGUGAGGGAAAGGGAGGGGGGAGAUAAGGGGAGUGGAGCAGGGUUGGGGGUAAAACAGCCUUGAGGGUAGUUUAGGGCGGCGAACAAUCAGACUGUUUUUCGCCGAUGAUGCUGGGGAGACGUUUUGAGUGGACUGGGGGCAUUUUGGCGCCGUCAUUGGCUCGUGCUUCUUUGGUGGGCGGGGUAGGGGCUUUAGGGGAUUGUGGCCCGAUCCGUGGGUCAUUUAUGAGGGUCACGACGGCAAAAGGCCGUCUUAGAAGGUUCCUGAAACGAUCUUAAUUAUGACUUGCACGCGACCUCCCCCCCUCAUUCUGUGCCCGCGUGCACGUAUUUCGCCACAUGUGUGUGUGGUGUGUGUGUGUCUCCCCGCAGAAUGGCCGCGUGGGCGCCGUACUGGCCGAGCAACUGUUACAGGCCCUCGUGGUGGCGGUAGAGUCGCCUGCGCCGCCUCACCAGGCGCUGUCGGAUUCCGGCGCCGCCACUGCGUCCCCCAGGGGUUCCCUGGCGGCGGAGGAGCAGCAGCGGCAGCGCAACGCGGCUGGUCGGCUGCUGCUCCGGCUUGUGGAAUGUGCGAGCUGCGCGCGGGAGUUCCUGUCUCGCCCCGGGGUGGUGUCGGCACUGCUGGACCUGCUGUCGCAUGUGUGGUGAGUUCCUUGGCAGUGACGAGUGUCAGUGACCCCAUAACCCGCUCUUAUUAUAAUCUUGGCGGCUAGGUAGGUAGUUCUCCGCUGUCGUCACCACUACAUCAUCGCGAGGACUGCUUCUUCACAACCGCCGACUGGUCGGUCCCAAUGCUUCCCGUACAUCUGCCGCAGCAGUCUUUCCCUCCUUGGCAGCAGGUUCACUCGCUCGUGUGGUUCAUCUUUCCCCCCAUAACCCGCAACCCCGGCGCCCUGUUAGCAUCAGCCAUAUGCCAAUCCAGAGUUCCUCAUCCGCCACCACGUUCUAUCCUUCAGCGCCGCCGCCGCCCGUAGUACGUCCGUAGUACGUCCGUACAAAAGAUCAGCGACCUAUCAAGGCGGACCAUGGGGGCUCACCGGGGCCGGUGCCGGACCUCACAUGCAUCUGGUACCUAUGAUGGCUUGCUGCGAGAGAUGGGAGAUGGGGGGGGAAGGAGGGGAUGGCGGCACAGGGGCAAUUUUACCUGCCUCCCUUGUGUGUGUCUGUGUGUAUGUAUGUGCGCAGGGACACCCACGGCCCCGCCCUACUUCCCCCGGCCGCCUCCACCCGCCCUCCACCACUUCGUACGGAUCUCACCGCCAGCAGCUCCUACAACGGCACAGCCCUCUCCCGCGCCAUUCUCCGCGGGUCCCUCGGGCCCAUAUCCGCCGGUGCCGCCGCCGGGGGGGGGCCGAUAGAGGUCAACGGCGGUAUCAGCGCCAGCACCACCGACAGCAACCUCAACCUCAACCUCAACUUGGCCCUGGCCAACCGGCGCAGCUCCAACAUGCACGCGGACAGCCAGCAGAGGAUCACAGGCAGCGGCGCGCUGCCGCCACCGCCGCCGUCAUCAUCUCCAUCUCAGUCCCUUUUGGCCUCCGCUGCCGCCGCUGGCGGCGGCGCCAAUAGUACGGCAGCCCCGACGUCUCCGUUCGCCCUGCCAGGAGGAAGCGGGGCGCUGUUGUCCGCCGGCGCCCAACUCCCGCCGCCCCGUUCACUGCCACUUAGCCCGACCGGCAACUCCACCACCAACACCACCAGCACCACCGCGGAGGGGCGCCCGAGCUUCGACAUGCGCCGGUCCGUCACGACGGGGCCUGGCGGUGCCGGCGCCGGCGGCGGCAGUGGAGCUGGGAGCUUGGGGACCGCGGCAUCAUUGCACUUGGCGCUGCAGCAGCAGCCGCGGUGUCAGAGCCCCCUGCUGGGCGCCACUCGCAGCGGUGGCGGGCUGGUUUCGGGGCCGGGGCUGCACUCGCCCGCGCCCCACGGAGUGCCCACCCGCAUGUCGCUACAUGCGGCCAUGUGCACCGAGACGUCGCAGUGGACGUCCCCCGCGCAGCAUGCGAUGAAGGUGCGCGGGCAGGUCCCAUCUGUGUGUGCAUGUGUGUAUACGAAUGUGUAUGUGCGUAUAUGUAUGUGCGGCCUGAUGUGUUUUGCACAUCAAGGGCUAUGGACCGCAUGCAGCUCCUUCAACGCAUUCUGACGUGUGAUAUUGGCGACAUUCUCCAUUCCUAGCACGGCUUUGUUGUGCUCCUGCUGCUACCCUGCCCUACCCUACCCUACCCGCACAGGUCCUGGAGCUGUCCGAGGAGCGCCAGCCCUCAGGACCCUCAACGUCAGGUUCCCAGCUGCCGUACUUCCGCCAUGCCCACACGCACACCGGUACCGUACCGCCAGGUCGGCCCUCACCGCUCUCCGCGGGCCCGCGCGCCAGUGGGCGGCCGGAAGCUGCAGGCGCUGGCGGCGGCGGCGGUCGUGGCGGUGUUGGAAAUGACCGCAACGAUACCAAUAGUGACAACAGUGAAGAUCUGAGUGACGAAGACAGCUUCUUAAUGCUGGAGGAAGUUGCGCCGCCGCCAAGGAAGCCGCCGCCGCCACCGUCAGCACCACCGGGAGGAGGUGUACGGCAGUCUUCCGUGCUGCUGCCUCCACCACCGCCCCGUGCGAGCGGAUCGCGUAACGGGAGGUUGGCGGAGGUGGCAUUCGUCGCGCACGCCCGGGGCGGCGGCGGCUCUUCAGCCGACGUCGACGGUGUCGCCCCGGUUGAAGACGGGACGGGAGCCGGCGGCGGGGCGGGGAGUGAGGACCGAGAGGGGCCUAGCCUGAUGACCAGUACCGUGGUACGGCAAUUCACCGCGUCUGUCCGAUCAAAUCACACUCACUUUACAGCGGCCUCACAACAUUCGGCCGUCUCGGAUUUCGGAUUUUCCCAUUCGCAUACCCGUAACCCAUGCUCGUUUGCCAUGACAACCAACGGGGCUGUGUUUCUCUGUAUGGCAUCCUCUCUGUACGACAUUCCCACCGGGCAUCGGGUCAGCUUUGACCAUCACCACAAUACCUCGCAUCCGGCGGUGGUGUCGUCCACUGGAAUAGGGACGGGUCGGGGCAUCAUGUCGCCCGCGUCUUCCCAUCCUCCCGCUCCCUUCACUCCCUUGUGCUCGCACUCGCACUCGUACUCUCGCACUCGCGCACUCGCACUCGCACUCUCGUACUUGCACUCGCACUCUCGCACUCUCGCACUCUCGCACUCUCGCACUCGCACUCGCACUCUCGCAUUCUCGCACUCUCACACUCUCGCACUCGCACUCACACUCUCGCACUCGCACUCUCGCAUUCACUCUCGCACUCGCUCUCGCACUCGCUCUCGCACUCUCGCACUUACUCUCGCACUCUCGCACUCGCUCUCGCACUCGCGCACUCGCACUCGCACUCUCGUACUUGCACUCGCACGCUCGUACUUGCACUCGCCCUCUCGCACUCGCACUCGCCCUCUCGCACUCGCACUCGCACUCUCGUACUUGCACUCGCACUCGCACUCUCGCACUCGGCCUCUCGCAUUCGCACUCGCUCUCUCGCACUCGCACUCGCACUCGCACCCUCGCACUCUCGCGCUCGUACUCUCGCACUCGCACUCGCACUCUCGUACACUCGCCCUCUCGCACUCGCCCUCUCGCACUCGCACUCGCCCUCUCGCACUCGCACUCGGCCUCUCGCACUCGCACUCGCCCUCUCGCACUCGCCCUCUCGCACUCGCCCUCUCGCACUCGCACUUGCACUCUCGCACUCGCACUCGCACUCUCGCACUCAAUCUACGGUGGUCAGCCGCCACCACCACCACCACCACCACGCCGCACCUUCGCCCGUCCAUUCCUUAGCAUUACUUCCGCCCAUGAGUGAGUGCGGGGCCCUCCCCUCGUUUCCCCUCCAUAUGCGCAUGAUGACCCCACCUCCCCAGCUACGUCGAGGAACAAGAGCACUGGCGCCCCCCCUGGCACCGGGCACCGGACUGCCCUCGGGAAGCCCCACAGCGCCGCGCACAGCCGCCGCCGCGUCUGCCGUACAGUGCCUUUCUGAGCUGCUACAGCUGUUACGGCUGCUGGCGGAGGGGGAUUUGGACACGGCGCGGGUGAGCUGCUACAGCUGCUUCGGCCGUCUGUGGGCCUUUGGUGCCGAUGAGGCCGCCAGGCAGGGGGCUGUGGGGGGAGAGUAGAGGGCGUUUUGUCCCGUGUACUACGUCGUUUAGGUCCGAUCAAAAACGCAUCGCGUUUGACGUAAAAGAUAAUUGCAUGCAUGCUCAGUUAGAUAAUGGGCAUCAGAUCUGUCAUUGUCACGUACUAAAGGGUUUUUAUUUCAACUUUGACAAAAGCACUGUAUCCUCCUCCCGCUCACGUCGCAGCCCCACGCAGCCGCGUCUCCCCUCCCCCCUUCCUUGCCAUGUACCCUCCUCCGCCGCUGCCAGGCCAUGUCCACCCUCCCAGCAGUGGAGCUCUUCGUAGACCUCCUCGCCGCCGCCAGCCCCCCCUUGGUGCUGGCGGCCCUGGGGCUGCUGGAGCGACUGGCGGAGCGGCAAGACGCGCAUGAGACUUUUUGGGACUGCGACGCCGUCGCGCAGCUGGUGGCCCACUUGCAGAUGAGGUCGGCGGCGGCGGCCGCGGCGGCGGCGGCCGCCGCCGCCGCGGCGGAGCGCAGCAGCGGUGCCGCUGCGCUGCCACGUCCCUCGGCCGGGGAGGUCGCCAUUGCGGGUGCAGGCGGCGACGCCGCUGCCGCCGAGNNNNNNNNNNNNNNNNNNNNNNNNNNNNNNNNNNNNNNNNNNNNNNNNNNNNNNNNNNNNNNNNNNNNNNNNNNNNNNNNNNNNNGGCGACGGAGCUGCCAGCGGCGCUUAUGGCGGUUCUGAAGCGCAGCGCGGACCAAGGGGGGCUGCAGGCGAGUGGAGGGUGCGGGAAGGGGGGCCCGCCGGACAGUGGGAGGACCUAGGCCGUGGAGUAACCACCUUAACUCUGGGUUUUCUGCCCUAGGCGGCGGCCGCCUAGCCGCCUGAGCCGCCCUUCAGAAUCCCUCCUCCUCCCCUUAGCGGUUGGGAAGGGAAGGUUGCUACAGCCUAAUGCUUUACUUCACCCCACGGCUGCCCAGUGCAAUGUCCGUGUUCUUGCUGUUGACGGCUCUCGUCUGGACACUCCACUCCACUCCAGCCUGUUGCGACUUGUUAGUUGCAAUUCCUACUGUCCAGCCAGCCAGCCGCUCGCCUACGCAGCCACAGCCACACGGCCUUCACCUCCGAACGCAGUGCCCCUAGAUGGCUUUAGGGGUUAGUCUCAUCUCCGCCUCCGCAAACAACUCCUCCCCACUCAACUCUUUCCCCCUCUCUCUCCCCCUUACACACAUACAUACAUACAUACACGCAUACACUGCAGGCCAUGGGGCCCCUCUCAGACAGGCCGAUGACCCGACCCGCCGCCACGACCUCCUCGAGCUACCUCCUGGCUAGGCCGCCCUCCUGCCGUACAUCCGUACAACACCUCCCGGGGAGCAACACUUCACUGCUGGUCUGUGUCCUUUCCGCUCUGAGCUCGUUGCUGGACUGUACGGAUGUACGGCGGCAAGUACGUACAAUGUACAGCAGUAGUGUGUUAGAUGCCGUUCUGAUACGAAUUAGGAAGCGAGUGGGCCAGUGCGGGUUGGUAAUUCCCUCCUUACCGCAGGGUGAAGGGGUUAAAGGUAAAGGGGGAUUGCUGUCUCCCAUUGGCUGGCGUGUAGUUGUGGGCAGCAACCCGAGUCACCUCCGUAUCUCAAUGGCGGUGGAGGUCCGAGUCCGGCAGCGGGGUAGCGCUGCACCUCUACAUCUCCACACCUCUGUGACCGACCACUACACUGCGAUUGAGCAAUCCCUGACGAAUGGUUCCUGUCACUACACGCGUUCGUUCGUUCGUUCGUUUACAAAUGCCGGUGUGGUUGUUGGGGUGGGGAUCGCGACCGGAGUGGGGACCUCGAAUGUUUAGUCAGCGGUCGGUGAUCUCCCCCGCCCCACCUCCUCCUUCCCCUUCCCCCCGUCGUGCAACCUCAGGCUCGAGAGCGCCGCUUGCCGUUACAGCUGGGGACCCUGGCUGGUGGCGGCGGCGGCGGCGGUGACCCACGGGUCUGUCAGCUCGCAGCGCUGUGCGGGGAAAAGCUGCGCGAUGACCCGCCUCGCAUCCGCGCUGUCGGCUCUGUGGGUGGUCCGGGGCACUGAUGACAGCAGCAGCAGCAGCAGCAGCAGCAGCAGCGGCGGCGGCGGCGGUGGCGGCCGGAUCUCCCCGCCGCUGCCACUACUGCCACCAGCGGCGGUCUGCUGGGCGGCAUGAACAGCAGCAGCAGUGCUACAGCUGCUACUGCAACAGCUGCAGCCCGGUCAGCACUCGGGGGCUCCCCAGUCUGUCGCUCUAGGUUGCGGCGGGUGGGUGAGUGGGUUAGUGAGUGGAGGGAGGGGAGGGGGGAGAGGGGAUUCCCGCAGGCAGCGAUAGCGCCGCUGACAUCGAUGUGGGAGUGCUGUUGCGUGUCAGGAAGUUGUUGCGUGGCUGGAGCCGGAAGCCGAGUGGCGGUCCGCAGUAUAGCGGAAUGUGGUAACAACAGCUUGCUUGGAACCGGUUGAGGCGGUUUGCGAAGGGGUGUGGGUGAGGGGAGCAAGAGCCUUAAUGGGCCGAAUGCUAGGAGUGGUCUCGGGGGGGGGGAGGGGUGGCCUACCGGGGUCAACAGCAACAACAACAGCAAUAACACAGCAAACAACACGGCAACAGCACAGCAACAGCAACAGGGCGAAGGAGCAGUACUGCAGCAGCUGCGGGUGCUCUGCCUGCCGGACAGCAACCUCCCUGACUCGGCGCAGUUGCUCGAAGCAACAGUUUUGCCAUUGAUAAGAGUUUUGCCAUUAAUAAGAGAGCGAGCUGCAGCGGCCGCGGGUUGGGCGCACCUUUGACAAUUUAAAUUUCAUUUUAAAUGAAAACCUGUGUGCGAUGUACUGAGGGGGGGCUCAUAACCUGCUGGCUCAAUAGGCCGCUUUAUUACGAGAGAUGCCCAUGCUGCGAGCAUUUUUGAACUGCAUAACUGUCGUACACCGUCCCAAAAGGUAGCAGUAGUCCAACCAUACGUUUUUUUCCUGUUGUUGCAAAGAGCUUGCGAACCACUGUGCGGCGGUUGGUUGAUCAGCAUUAGCCGCUAAAAAACCGCCGCCAUCGCAGUGCGAGGCCAGCUAUGACUGUUUUGAUUGCCGUGCGGCUGGGUGGAGGGUCGCUUGGCUGCCCGCUGUAGAGCCGAGCUCAGUAGGUCUUGGCGUGAUCGCAUGGACACUGCUUUUCAUCAACGUGAAACAGUGGCUUGCGACUCGAAUGAUGCGGAGCUGAUGAGCAAUGUGAUGUAUGGGUGGGGGGGGAAGAGCAAUCGCGUCGCGAUUUCUGACGAUGCUGUACGCUGUACGGACCAGCGGAAGCUUCUCUAGGUGUCGUACGGCAGGUCGCAUUCGACCGUUAGUCAGCUGCCAUGACUUACAUGUGGGUCCCCUCGUUGCGAAGGAGGAGCGGAGUACUUCGGGGUUUUAGGUAUGGGUAGUCGGUGUUGACAUACAUACAUGCAUGCCUACACACGUACAUCAUAUACAAGUCCUAGCUAGCACCGCCGAAACAUCUGAGGUGGGAAUCUGAAUUGCACCCAACAAAUGGCACGUCCUACUUGUACGUAUGUAUGUAUGUAUGUGCUUACCUAUUGAACUCACCCUCGCCUGUCAGAGCUGGCGGGGCAACGAAACCCUCCCCCAUAGGGCCCUAUCCAGACAGUGAAUAACGGCCAACGCGUGUGUCUGGCAAGUAGGGGGUAUAUGCCCUUAUAUUCAUGUAUAGCGUUUGCCGUACAGCGCCCAAUUGUUCUAUAAGCUUUGCAAAAACCCAACCUCCAUAUCCCGUGCUGCAUAUGAGCGCUCUUUCGUAUGGCGUGUGGAUUCUCCAAGUCCACUACGUGCCCCUUUCCUUUCUUGAUCUGGCGACGUACCUCCGCCUCUCACUCGUCCAGUUGGGCUCGUCGACACAUACACAUACACAGACACGGUGAUGCAGCAGGGGUGUGGUGGGUUCUAUCACUGCCGGACGUACGUAUAUAUGUACGUAUGUGUGCCCCUUCCACCCUCUCCACGAGCCAAUGGAGUAUUGUUGUACGAGCCCUAUAUGACCACAGGCAUGGCAUUUUGUUCCUGCCCGCGCGGGCAUUCGUUUUCCUGCGAGACCGGAUGGCUGUCUGUACGUGCUGGAAACCGACAUACAUACAUACAUAUAUGUGGACUACAGUGGGAAGUGUUCGUGCAUGCUAGUGCCCCCUCUUCCUCCGCCCUCUUGACAAACUCGUCCUCCGUUAAUCGAUAUACUUCUUUUGUGUCCCCGCCAGUUCCUCCUUGCGGGGGGGGGGCGCUCCAGGACACUCCAAAAGACGUUAAUGAUUUGCUGAGGGGGGGCAGCACUCUCACAGCAGUGCAUGCGCCGCGAAGUAUAUGGGGAUGUGUACAGGUGCGGGUGGCAAUGGCGACUUGGUACUUGGGCUCUGUGGUGGCCCCUACUGCGAGGCCCCCAGGAUUGGAGACUCUGUAAUUAGCCCAUUUUUAUAUCACAUCACACACAACCCCACCCAUAUCUUAUCUAUAAGCAAGCACAGCGAGUGCGUUGUAACUUUGUAUUGCCUUUUUAGGCGUUGCAUACUGCGUACGAGCCUCACCGAUAGCUAGGCUGGUCCUACUGUUGCUGUACCCACCACCGCUGCUUGACGCCAGCUGAGCAUCCGCCGGGGCCCUGGUGACAGCGCUGAUGGGCUUUGUUACUACUCGGCAAGGGCUACGAGCCUUGGCCAGCGUGCUACGAUGUAUGCCCAUGUUGCGCGAGAGAUGACGGCGAGGGAAGCGGCAGGUGGCGCAGUGGAGGAGCGUGUGCCUGCUAACUCCCGUGCAGCCCGUUCGGACACUCACGUCCACGGCAUGGACACCGGUCUUGGGGUUCGGUGUCGGUCCUUUGGGCUGUGACAAAAACGAGGGGGGGUCCUAGGGUGUCAUAGGGCAUUAUGGAUCCUCUGCCUCGACACAAAGGAACUAACAUAAAACGUUACCCGCCGAUGCUUCUUCAGCAGCCCCCCAGGUAUCUAUCAGCUAGAUGUGUGCUUGAUUGGCACCUCUGCUUGCAGCGGUCCGCUUCCUCGUUGCUCCAGUUCUCGUUAUACAGCAGCUCAAGUUCCCCCGGGCGUAUGACUUAGAUUACACUGUGGGCCGCGAGAGCCGGGGGCCGAAGCCGAAACACAGCGCAAGGGUCGGGAGCACACAGCACAAGUCGGUUAGUCUUGUGUGCUCGGGCGUAUGUAUGUACGACCAACACUACGUGUACUAGUGUGGUAUUGUAGAAACUACAGUCCUUCUCAAUAUACGUCAGCAAGACUAGCGGUAACCAAAGUCGAUGAUACGAUAUACAGGGUAGAUCCAUUAACAACAUGCAUUCCAGCAUGAAGUGUCCUUUGAUACCUCGUCUGCACCAGUCACAGCUCCCAUGACACGCAGCUGGAACCCGGAAUAAUAGCUCCGGAACCGACUACUGCAGCCGACUUGGCUGCACUGAAACCCAAAGUUGAUCGGACCUUUGUUACCGGACCGGACGAACAGGGUGGUGUGUACUCGACCACUUCCAGUGGCACUGCAAUUGAACAGUCUUUAGCACCGACCCAACCCAUGCUCUAGACUCAUAAAAACGAGCUCCGGGGAGGGGCCCGAGUAGAGGAAGUACGAAACAAACAUGUUUGCCGCUGCUGCGGCCCAGAAUGGGGACUAAGGACGGGAUCCCGUGUGUGGGGGCCUGGCUGUGUCGUACGCACGUUGCACCUUUUGCAAUCACAACCACGAAGAUCGCUAACACGCACUUGAGAGCGAAUCAGCGCAAUGGUGCAAAUAACUGUAUCUACCCCUCUGAGGUACGGCGGGGGCGAUAUAGGGGGGCCGGAUGAUAUAGUUGUUAUGGUGAUACGGCACCGCGUACAUACACACACACGGUUUGCGGUACAGGUAGGUAUAUCGCUUGCAUAAGGGGACUUGGCCUACAGGUCUCGCAUUGCCCCCUGGUACAGGUCGUCGUCAUCAUGAUGCAUACAUAACGUCACAACUGCCUACUGCCAGCCAGGAGUGCUCUGCAGCGUCAUUAAAGAUAAUGGCGCCCCACGCUUUAGCUUAUAUUGUUUGCACCCAUAUAUAGCUUCGGAACAGCACGCAGCACCGUUAUCACGAUACCCACCUAGCAGCAGCCGUGCACACGUGAACCGCUGGGGGGACACUUCCUUGGACGGGCCGCCUCCGUCCGGGGCUAAGAAGACGAUGAAAGGCGCAACCAGCAGAUAGAUAUUCCUUGCUCUCGCUCGGCCCUUCCGGUGCUCAUCACUGACAUCAGCAGGCAUCAACAGGCGAACAUCACCACACCCGCACGGGGGCGCGGCGGUAUCACCAGUCCGUCCCUUAGGCUGACCUCGCCUCGAUUUCUAAGAUGGGCCAACUUCUUUCUACCGUACGCGUCGUCCUGCCAUCGCGCUACACAGCACAGCUCUUAACAUCCGCUGAUCAUCCGACAUUCAGGCAGCGAGUAGUAGGGGCUCCACACCCAUCUCCGGAAUCUAUCUCAUUGCACAGACAGACAUCUGGACAGUGCGUUAGACGGCUUGCAGGAGACAGCUCUAUUGUCAGGAUCGGUACGUACCGAGCUGACCCGCCUCACUGCCGUACUGUACACCCCACUGCCGUACACAUACCCCAGCUGACUGACCCGCCGCCGCAUCACUAUACGGGCCAACUGCUCUUUAUCCUUCCGAGCACUGCUGCAGCCCCCUGCGAGCCGCCAUAUGUAUAUACGUAACAUAUACAUGCAUACAGAAAUGUAUAUCUAAAUUUAUACAUCAAUGUCUAUAUAUGUUAUAUUCCAUAUAAAGCAUAGGACAACAUAACAACAUAUCCCUGCUUCGCUUUGUUGAUUUGCCUCACCCCCCCUACCCUCACCCCCCCUACCCUCACCCCCCCCCUCGGAACCCACGGAAUGUCCCCCCGGGUGACGGCGACAGAGAGUUGACCACCUGCAGAUUUACAGCUGCGGACGUCCAGUACGUGCAAGCAGGGGAGCGAGUGAGGGCCGCCAUGGCGCGGUGUGCCCCCGCUGGCGCAGCCGCCGCCAGACAUGGGCCUGUGCUGCUGCUCCUUCUUUCCGCCGCGGCAUUGACGUGGCUCCCAGCGGGUGGGGGAGGUUGCGUUUGUGCCUGCCAUUGCCACGCCCGACCCCCUCCCGCUCUCGCUAGGUCUUGCCUUCUGCGUGCGGUUCAGCACCCACACACCCACUCACCUACGCACACUGCAUUCAUGGCGGUCAAAAGCCGCAUGUCUGGCGGCAUGCUUCGUGUGAUGAUGUGGAAUGCGUAUGUCAGUUGUCCCCCAAAAGACCAACAGAAGUAACGAACACGUACGAUUCGGUUGAAAAACGUGCCGUUGAUGUAAACUCCCCCUAAAGAGGAGCCUGUCAUUACGUUGGUCUUACCUCUCGGGAAGUUGCUCAGUACCCAUUACUAUUUUCCGAGCUUGCUUGCCUGAGGAAACGACCAUAACUUCCGUAACUACCAUAUUUACACGAGCCCCACCCUCGCGGUUGUCCGUACUCCAGGUUCAGCCGCCCAAGAAGGUAUCAUCGAGCUGGGCGAGGAGGCAAAAGGGUUUGGAAAGUUGAAGGAAUUUGAAAAGUUGAAGGAAUUUGAAAAGUUGAAGAAAAUUGAAAAGGCGAAGGGCAAGGGCAAGGCCGUGGUGGUCGUGCCGCUCAAGUCACCUCCACCGCCACCCCCACCAUCGCCGGCCCCGCCCUCACCCCCCCCUCCUCCACCUCCUCCACCACCGCCAUCCCCACCACCACCAUCCCCGCCACCCCCUUCCCCCCCUCCGCCCUCACCUCCCCCUCCUUCCGCCGCCGCCUUCUCCUCCUCCUCCGUCNNNNNNNNNNNNNNNNNNNNNNNNNNNNNNNNNNNNNNNNNNNNNNNNNNNNNNNNNNNNNNNNNNNNNNNNNNNNNNNNNNNNNNNNNNNNNNNNNNNNNNNNNNNNNNNNNNNNNNNNNNNNNNNNNNCCCCCUCCUUCCCCCGCUCCCUCCCCACCUUUCUGAACAAGUCCGUGAACGACACCUCCUCCUCCGGACCCUCUCCGCACGUGAAACUCUCGCUGCUGUACCACAUGUCGUACCGCGUGUCAAACCGGAAGUGCCCGCACGUCUCCGCUGCCAGACACACCUGGUAGAGGAGCGGACAGGGGGAGAGCGGACAGGGGGGAGAGCGAGGAGGGCGGGGAGCGCGUGUGAGGGCGGGGAGCGCGUGCGAGGGCGGUCAAGGACGCCAAUUGAAUGGCGAAGGGAGGGGAGGGGGGAGAGGAAAUGGAAAAGCCGCACGACGCAGGUACCCUCCAAGCCGGUUGUUAGUUAAGGGGGCUGCCAACUUCACAGCUAUUCUACAGCCACCACCCACUACAGCUGCUACUGCUGCUGCUCCCGCCGGAACUGCUCCUCGGGAGCAAGGUUGCUGCCGCUACCGCUGUCGCCGCUACCGCUGCCGCCGCUACCGCUGUCGCCCCCACCGCUACUGCCGCUACCGCUGCCGCUGCUACCGCUACUGCCACCACCGCUGCCGCCGCUACCGCUGCCGCCGCUACCGCUGUCGCCGCUACCGCUGCCGCCGCUACCGCUGUCGCCCCUACCGCUACUGCCGCUACCGCUGCCGCUGCUACCGCUACUGCCGCUACCGCUGCCGCCGCUACUGCUGCUACCGCUGUCGCCCCUACCGCUACUGCCGCUACCGCUACUGCCGCUCACCGCUGCCGCCGUUACUGCCGCUACCGUUGCUACCGCCAGUGCUGUUCUUACCGCUCGUAACGGCUGCGGACUGACAGCCACCCGGGGCCCCCUCCCUAACGAUGACCCAGAUCAGACCAGGACACGACUGACAGACUGACGGACGGACGGAACCCAGAUCCUGAAAUACGGCCUACGUGCUGCACGGCCUUUCCAUUCGUGUACGGUGUCGUACCUUGAGGAUGUGCGGAAAGAGGAAGAGCAGGCCCGUGUGCAUUCCGGUCCCCAGACCGAUUGAUGACAGCACGCCCAGACCAACCCACCACACGACGUACUUCACGGUUUCCUGGGGGGUAGGGAUGAUGCCGGGGUGUGGUGUGGGUUGGGUUGGUGUGGGUUGGGUUGGUGUGGUGUGGGUUGGGUUGGUGUGGGUUGGGUUGGUGUGGGUUGGGUUGGUGUGGGUUGGGUUGGUGUGGUGUGGGUUGGUGUGGUGUGGUGUGGGUUGGUGUGGUGUGGUGUGGGUUGGUGUGGUGUGGGUUGGUGUGGGUUGGGUUGGUGUGGGUUGGGUUGGUGUGGUGUGGUGUGGGUUGGUGUGGUGUGGUGUGGGUUGGUGUGGGUUGGGUUGGUGUGGGUUGGGUUGGUGUGGGUUGGGUUGGUGUGGUGUGGUGUGGUGUGGGUUGGUGUGGUGUGGUGUGGUGUGGGUUGGUGUGGUGUGGUGUGGGUUGGGUUGGUGUGGGUUGGGUUGGUGNNNNNNNNNNNNNNNNNNNNNNNNNNNNNNNNNNNNNNNNNNNNNNNNNNCAAGUCCUGUCCGAAUGACCCAUGGGUCGAUGGAGCAUUUCCGUUCGCAAGGUUAUUGCUGCUGCCAUAGUGGUGCUGCAGAUGGUACGGUUGCUGUGGCUGCGACGGCGACGGCUCCGUGGAGGCGCCUAUGGACGCCGCCAGCGACGUCUGGCCGUCGACGUUGCCGCGGCAGUAGCACGCGAUGAGGUGAUCUGCUGCGGCGCGUUCCGCUUCAUCGGCGCCAUUCAACACCACACGCAGCGCGGCCGUCAGCGCCGGCACUGCCUCGGCUACCGCUGUCGCAGCCAGGGGGCCCUGCCCCGCUCCGUCAAGCCCGUCCGCUGCCGUUACCCCCGCCGGCAGCAGCGUCUGUCCGGACGGCCGUACCGUCACGCGCGCCAAGCGUUCCUGCGCCGCCGCCAGGCCGUCGACCAAGUCACCUAGGGCGCCCAGCGCGGCGGCGCGCACCGGCGCCGACGGCACGCCGCCGUUCCGCAGCGCCGCCGCCACCAGCGCCUCUAAUGCCCCUGCAGCAAGCAGCUUGGCCUGGUUUGCGGCACGGUUGGCUUUCUCCGUAGCUCGAUCAGGGUCGGCGGAGGCUACCUGCGGGGCGCACUGUCCAGGGAGGGGAAAGGCAGACAGACAAACUGUCGGAACACGGAAUGGAAGCCGUUCCGGCUGGGCGGCCGGGGCGCAUGUUACGCUGGAGGAGUGGUGAGCGCUGACCCCCGCAAUCCACGUCCUUUGAAUUUCAUGUGUCACUAAAUUGGCGGCCUUGAAAAUAAAUAACUUGUACGGCCUUAUGACCGAUCCGGAGGACGAGACGGCAGAAAGCGUUCCGUUCGGGCCCUUCUCAACGAGCCCUUCUCCACACUGGCUCCCUCUGCUCCCGCCCCAUCUCGACCCCAGCCCCAGGUCUUUCUUCUCCACUUUUUUAUAAAAAGCCGGUCAGGGUCGUGUCGACGGGCUGCCUCACCAGCAGCCGGAAUGUCUCCAGAAGGGCCAACAUGUUGGCCGCCUUCUGUCGCGGCAGCUGCGGCGGCCCCAUCAGCGCGUCACUGCCCGCCGCCGCCAGCGCCGCCAGCGCGUUGUGCAGCUCUAGGGAGGGCUCGUCGGCUGCGUCCAGGCCGUGACCGGCUGCGCCGCCGCCGCCCCCGCCGACAUUAAGGAACGGAAUGGGACCCGCUGCCUGCGCAAAAUGGCCGACACCGGAGGUGACUGCUGCUGGGGCGGUGACGGCGGCGCCAGGCGGUGCCNNNNNNNNNNNNNNNNNNNNNNNNNNNNNNNNNNNNNNNNNNNNNNNNNNGGUUGGUGUGGUGUGGGUUGGGUUGGUGUGGGUUGGGUUGGUGUGGGUUGGGUUGGUGUGGGUUGGGUUGGUGUGGUGUGGGUUGGUGUGGUGUGGUGUGGGUUGGUGUGGUGUGGUGUGGGUUGGUGUGGUGUGGGUUGGUGUGGGUUGGGUUGGUGUGGGUUGGGUUGGUGUGGUGUGGUGUGGGUUGGUGUGGUGUGGUGUGGGUUGGUGUGGGUUGGGUUGGUGUGGGUUGGGUUGGUGUGGGUUGGGUUGGUGUGGUGUGGUGUGGUGUGGGUUGGUGUGGUGUGGUGUGGUGUGGGUUGGUGUGGUGUGGUGUGGGUUGGGUUGGUGUGGGUUGGGUUGGUGUGGGUUGGGUUGGUGUGGUGUGGGUUGGUGUGGUGUGGGUUGGUGUGGGUUGGGUUGGUGUGGGUUGGGUUGGGUUGGUGUGGUGUGGGUUGGUGUGGUUCUCGCAGGGUGGUGUGGGAUGGGAGAAGUCAUAGGCCAGUCCAGAGCCAUUUAUUUGAUUACCGCAGAUUUCCACUUAGCAUUCAACAAAAGAAAAUCUCAUUCCGCUUCAGUGCAGUUCAGGUUCCGCUUCUGUUCUGUGAUGCAAUGUGGUCACUUUCUAUCCCAAAACCCAAGCCAAGUAAGCAGGCAGUGAGGAGGCACGGAAGCGGAUCAUGUGAUGAGGAUAGACCUUCGCCUGCCAGGGCGACGGGAGGGCGCCCUGCGCGAUGUUGGAAGCGGGUGGGAAUAAGGUGGGGGGGGGCGCGGGAAAGAGGACGAGAAGAUGGGAGAUUGGAAUGAGGGAGGGGGAGGAGGGGGGAAAAGAGGAACCACGAACGAACGAAGCUGAUUUCCUUAUGGCCAAGGAAAGACUGCUGCGGCAGAUGUAAAGAAAGCAUACCCAACCAUGGGAUGAGGGGGCGCGGGAAAAGCUAAACCAUGUGCGAUGACGGCGUCUGCUCACCUCAACUUCAGCUAACAAUUCCUGAUAGCAUCCUGCCCAUUUGGUGCCCGCAUACGCAAGUAAAGCCGGCAGUAUGACCAGCAUCGUGACUGGGUGACUUGCGACCCAUUUCGCUCCGCUGUAGAGCCCAUUCGCGACGUANNNNNNNNNNNNNNNNNNNNNNNNNNNNNNNNNNNNNNNNNNNNNNNNNNGAAAACAGAAGGAAAACCUCCAUCUAAUACCGCUCAGCCGCGUUACUUGCUGUCAACUUGCCAGAAGUCUAUUAUACUGGGUGGGUACUGUCGGGGUCUCACGCGGUCCACGUCACCGAAGAUGUAGAAGAUGUCGGCACAGUGCGGUCAACACUGAAGCAGUAAAGUGGUGCCAGGGCGCAGCGAGCGAGCGAGCGGGCCUUUUCGGCAGCAGCUUCUAUCCACGGAUAGAGGGGUUUACAGCCUCCUGAAGCUAAUUUCUGUUCUAGCAGUGCUAGACAAUAACUCUAUCAAGAGACAAGGGGACGCGCACCGCUGCGCAUCUCCGAAUAGAAUAACUAAUGCGGCCUGUGUACGUGUGUGUGUGUAUGUAUGUUGUUACAGGGUGGUUAGCAUAAUUUUAGUUUACUAAAAUUGUGCUAAGCUUCACCAGCGGCCCCCUUUCCCGAGGCAGUUCCUUGCUCUCCCCUGCUAGAGGGGCACCCUAAUCCGUUCACCCCAUCCGACUUCAGAAUGUAUUCGUUGGGUUCAGCAACUCACCACCAGCAUCCAACUAAAUCUAGCGGAUCAACGGCGCCUCAACUUAGUUCCUGGUCAGCUCGCAAGUUGAUAUUAUCACGUCCAACACCGUCCAUAAGAUGGGGGGCCACCUCCCAUUUCACCACUUCUCAAACACCCGAGAAGUCGGCAGGCGGAUUUGAACCCGGGUAUAUAUAACCCGGGUAUAUAUGUGUGUACGUGUCCCGCAGAAACCCCGUCGGCCCCCACCGUCGCCCAAGCCAUCACCUCCACCACCACCGCCAGGUGAGCUCCGAAACCGCUAAGAUCUCCACGCCGGUAUGCCGUGCACUGAUGUGCGUGUGUAUUUGGGUACGAUGGUGUGUAUGUGUGUGCGCGGUGUAAUUAUAGUAAUAUGUAUAUCUGUAUGUAUGCUUAUGCGGGUGUUGCAGGCAAGCAAUUCCAGGCUUAUAAGUACAAGAAGUACGUCUACAUCUUCUCAGUCAACUCCUACACCUACAGUGAAGCUGCAAACUUCUGCUACUCGCGGGGCUACAGCCUGGUGCCGUACAGGGACUUGCUCAGUAAAGGUAUGCGGGCAGAUCGGCAGCGAACACCAAUGUACGACAAGCUCUUGUGCAGGCGCCCAUGCCGCCGGCACGUACCCGGCCGUGCCUGUGAGCACACGUGUUAGACCUCCUGCUGCCAUGUCUGUCUGUCUGUCUGUCUGUCUGUCUGUCUGUCUGUCUGUCUGUCUGUCUGUCUGUCUGUCUGUCUGUCUGUCUGUCUGUCUGUCUGUCUGUCUGUCUGUCUGUCUGUCUGUCUGUCUGUCUGUCUGUCUGUCUGUCUGUCUGUCUGUCUGUCUGUCUGUCUGUCUGUCUGUCUGUCUGUCUGUCUGUCUGUCUGUCUGUCUGUCUGGUUGCCAUGUACAUCAUGUAUGCAUCCAUGCACACAGCUAGCUAACUCAGGGUUUUAGGGUUACUUAGCAUACACACACAUACAUACAUUGCACUCACUCGUUGCCGUGCCGCAAGCGCGUUUGGGUGAUUGAAAUCUGUAAAUGUACGAACGAAUAUACGAACUAUAAGCACGCGGUCACGGUAUCUCCUCUAUGUAUGUAGGCCAUACAUGUCACACAGCUACAUUGAUAUUAAUCCCCAUGUGUGUAAUCUUCCGCUACCUUACAAGCAAUACAUUACUGCAUAUUGCAAUCCGUGCAUGUACGUGCCUACUCACCACUACUGCAUUACAACAGACGUCACCGGAGCGCUGUGCUUCAACAGUGGACUGGGCUGCUGGGUGGCGGGUGCUCAGAGCGGCUACUGCCCCUUCAUCGACCCAAGUGGGAACGGGGGUCCGUACGCAAGGAACUGCGAAGAAAAGCAACGUGUGCUCUGCUUCCGCCCGAGUCCCUAGCUACAAACAUACAUACAUGUCCAGCAGUCCGUCCACUAUGCAUACUAACGCUCCCACACACCUGGGGGGGGGGGGAAGAGCAUUCUGUCCGGCAGCCGGCGGUAUACUGCUGCUGCUCCUGUGAUUACUGCUGCUGUUACUGCUGCUGUUGCUGCGGUGAAAUGGUGUUUGACAUCCUGCGGCAGGCGGUCGUCUGGGUAUGUAUUGUAUUAUGUCAGUAUGUAUGUGCGAACUUAUUACCGUUUAGAUGGAAAACUGCUUUCUGUACUUAUCGCUGCGUUGCUCGCCCAGUGACUGAUGGCUAUAGAAUAGCGAGCUAGCUAGCACGGCAGCCACCACCACCUGAAGCUCCUAACGAUGCGUGAUCCUCUCACUGACCGUACGUGAGCUUUCUUGCGUGAUCCGUGAAGCUGAGUGCUUGUGGGCACACACACAUGUUGCAGCCAUAUUUGUAUGCAUACGUGUCAGGAGGGUUAUUACAGCCAGCGGUGGCUGCUCCAGGGUGAUUGCUCGUACCCGCUGCCUAUUUAAGCCCAAGCAGGCGUAGCGGGCGCAGUCUCCGCCGGCUGGGUUUUUUACGUCGGUGUGGUACGGUGCUGCUUUUAGAAUAAUAAUAUUGUUGUGUGACCCAUUUGCUCUCUUCCUUGUUGGCUUUCCAUGCAUCCGUCUGGUGUAGCUCGUCGUCGUGAGCUGUGCCUAGUGGAUAGCUGUAGCUGUGACGGCUACGCUGGCAAGGUGCUGCUGUCCCGCUGCUGCAGAAGACCCGGUAUUUAUGGAAACCAAUUAUGCUUGUUUAGCAUAUCUACUGUAUGUGUCUGAAUUCGUAUGAAGCCGUAUGCAGUGUAAUAUAUAAUCCAAAUAAGUAACAAUUCGGGAUUUGGGGCUUGGAAAAACAGAACGAUGGAGUUGUAUAUUUUCAUUCCUUGUUUCAAAACUGACGGACAGUUCUUAAGUUUAGGAAACCUAUUUAAAUUACAGCGUAUCAAUGAGGAGCCGCAGACGCCGCAAGGCAAUCACACCCCUGAACCAACGUGGCACCGCAGCCUAUACGCCUGCAGCUGGUCCAAACACUACAAAAUAUGCGCAAGCAGUGCAAGCCAAGGAAUCCAACACCGCGCAACCACCAAAGCUGCAAAAUAUGCCAGAAACUACUCCUGGUAAGGGCGGUUAGGGUUUUAGAGUUUUAGGACGCGGUCAUGGUCGGACGACGAACACUGAGACCUGCACAGUCUGCACUUGGCUCUGUGUUUGUGUUGUUGGGACUACUGCUAACUCACGGGGGAAGCCGGAGGGGGGCCGGGAGGGGAGCGGAACCACCCCCAGCGCCGCACAGCUAGGUAAUAAAUCAUACAAAGCUCUGAAAAUCUCAUACCUGGUAAGUAAGUAAUGAAAAGGGAAGAAGCACUGGCUGUGUGAGAGCCCUAUGGAGCACCCCAAGUUGCAACUGAACAGGGGCAGCUAAGAACUGUCGCAUAUAUUCGUGUGCGUGUGUGCACUUCACGUAAUGCAUAAAUGGGAACGGAUGUAAAUAAACCUGUCGUUUCGCCACCUCCACCUCCGUACUGCAGCAAUUUUAUUUACUGCUGGCGGCGGCGUGUACAGGUCGCAGAGUAGCAAGGAAGUAGGUGUUAGGAAUGAGCACUGCAGAUAUGUUGCAUCACCACGCACGUACACAAGAAGUAAACAUCGAAGUGGAUAUCCAGGCAGUCGUACACCCGAGCUAGUACGGCAUUGAAGUGCACAUCACGCUGCUGCUGCUGGUGCUGCUGUGUCAGCAGCCAAGUAGUCAUCAUGCAUGUCGUCAUGCGAAUGGAUGUGGUCUCGGAGCCCACCAAUAGAAAGCGUACUUGCUUUAUCCAGCUUCAGACACAUCAUUAGCGACAAAUCGCUCUACCCGACCCCGCGUGUCUCCGCCGAUAACCAGCCCAGAGGCUUCUCGUGCUGUGCUCGCGAGGGUCUGUCACUUAAAAAAUGCUGCGGACUACUCUGCUGCGCACGUGGGUAUAAGUAUUGGGUUUGGCCUGCCUGCCUCAUCCACCUCCACCCCUGCUGCCAGUCUAGAAGCCUAAAAACAACUAACGAAGCAAGCUCGCAAGCCCGCAAGCAAGCAGCGAAAUGUGAUGACAUACAUACAUACAUACAUACAUACAUACAUACACCAGCAGCACGUUCAGCAGUGUCAAAAACAUUACGUUAUGUGUGCACGCAGGCCAGCGUGCACGCAUGCAUUUGUAUCUUGGCUCGGAAGACGUCUGUCAUGGAAAUGCAUGAUCGGGGGGUGAUGAUGACGGCGAGUGUGAUGUUUUCUGCUGCCCGCAACACGCGCAUGACCCCUCCCUCAUGCGGAGGUGCACAUCACCCCACUCCCAGUCAUCCUGCUGCGUACUUCACAAUGUAUAUACCACUGUACGACCACUACUAGCUAGGCCCCAGGAACCGUGACUGCUUCAAGUUGGACUUGUUCCCCCGCGGCUGGUGGUGGCACAUCUGCUACUGCUGCAAUAGUGGCCUGCUGCUGCUGAUGAUGAUGAUGCUGUUGGCCCAAUACUACUCCUGCUCCUGCUGCGGCUGCCACUGCUACUGCUGGUGAACUAACAGCAGUAGCAGUAGCAGUAGCAGUAGCCGGCUGCUGCACCAGGUGUAAUGAUGAGGGCGGCCCGGGUCCGGGUCGUCCCCUAGCUGCGUCGAGAAACUCCACUAGCGUGGACUUGAACUGGCCACUGCGUGCGUGCGUGUAUGUAUGUAUGUAUGCACGUACAUGUGUGAGUAUGUAUGUGCGUAAGUAUCUAUGUACAUGCAAACAAGUCAGCGCAGCUCGGAUAGGUUUGAUGCAAGAACGGGUAUGAUGCAAGCAAGAGCUCAGCAUAAAUGUGUGCAUGUGCCGGAUGGGGACAACACGCACAUACACACACACAUCACACACACACACACACACAUCACAUGCAUGUGGUGGGAAGCCAGCAAGCCCCCGUGAUCCAUAAUGAUUACUUAUAUGAUAUCCAGCAGGUGCCCGCAGUGCCCAGAAUGUCGAGUACGACAAGAAAGCUGCUAACCGGGCGAAUACGCUCAUGCUAGCUUCUGCCAUGCUUACAACACACACACACAUAUAUAUACAUACAUAUCUACAUCUACAUCUAUAUCUAUAUAAACUAGGUAUAGGUGACUAGCGAGCCAGACAGCCUGCCAGACCGACCUGCAUGUGGGCACUAGGUGUGCGCCUCCGUGGGUGUACGACGAGACAGUUGCGGGGUUGAAACAGGCCCCCAGCUGGGCUGUCCGUUCCGGGGGAACCUGAAACACAUUCGCAGGUAAGGUAUAUGUAUCUAUGUACGUAUGGAUGUACGUAUGUAUGUAGGGAUUAGAGGAAAACAACGCUAGUGGAAACACGUGAGGAGAUGUGUACCAACCGAAUGCGAGCGAGCAGUGCAGCAAUGUGCAGCAAAUUAAAGAGGAGCUCAGCUCCGUCCUUGUACAAAUACCAGCACCAGCACCAGUACCAGUACCAGUACCAGUGGCAGCAACAGCAGCAGUAGCAGCGGCAGUAGCAGCGGCAGUACCAACACCUAAAUGCAAGGUCGCCCCCCACCCACCCACCCACCAGUGAGUCAGACGUCCCGGUAACCAAGAGCAAGGGCACCCGGCUGCUGCAGCUGCCCGCCCGGACCAGUUCCGCUACAGCCGGGUCCCGGGGGAGGAAGCCGGCAACCUGCCGGGGUGUGUGUGUGUGGGGGUGAGUGGGCAUAAUGUGGCAGCAAUAUCAGGAAUUAAUGACCAAUCGCUUCGUGCAUUGCUAAGGUGAUGACGGUUACAUGUAUGUUCGUGUGUAUGUUUGUAUGUGCGUGCUUCGGGCCCUUGAUGUCAACGUUACUCCUCCAACACGUGGGCGAUGAAGGCGGCCUCCGAUCCCUUCCCGGCCGAUGAGGAUCCACGGAUGUACAGAAGAGUGUACGGCCAAUAGAUGAGUGUACGGCCAUAGAAUGGUAUACGACCAUGAAACCUAUCAAGGGGGAAAACUACACGCAUAUACACACACCGCUAGUUAGAUUGGCUACGUACCAGAAUUGCGCAUUUCAGGCUCCGCAACAGCGCUGCAGGACUAGCAGCUGAGGCAACAGCGGGCUCUCCGCCACUGCCACCGUUCUGCCGGUCACCGCUGCUGCCAUCGUGCUGCUGCUGCUCCACCUGCUGCUUGAGCCCACCAGCGAAAGUCGCAUCAUCAGCAGUAGCAGUAGCAGUAGCAGUGGCGGUGGCGGCCAGGUGCGACAGCAGCAGUGCGGCGGCUGUAGCGCCCUGGCUGAAGCCCAACAAACCUACAACACGUGCAAACAAGCAGGCUGCUUACCAUACAGCACUGUUGCUAGCACGUCCGCUAUUACAAUACGGGUUGGGCCUUCAGAAAGUCAGCUGCCACUUGUCUGUCAGCUGCUGCUGUCGCUAUCUUUCAGUCAGUCAGUGGUUCAGCAGCGCAAUACUGCUUAGAAGAACGAUACCCCUGUACGGCAACUGCCCCUAGGUGCGCAACCCGUCCACCCGCUGAGUACGCAUAUCACCGGUCGAUUGCCCGGGAGCACAGACGUAGUAGCUAUACAAGUACGGCACACACGUAUAUAUCGUCUACAAAUACGCGCUAGGGCGCUCCACCAGCAUCUUGAGAGGCCUCUUAAGCGGCGGCCAGCAGGUACGACACCACCUCCCCUGUCCUGCCCUGUCUUGUUCUGCUAGCCCGUGAGCCCUGCGGCAGCUGCAGCUCCUCUGCUCCUCCUCAAUCCACCGCUACACCGCCCACCACUGCCUGAUGCCCAGCUCCGCCCCUGCUCACCAUCCGGCUGAUGCAGCCGCAGCGCCUCCAGGAGCGAGUCCUGCGCCACCUCCCACCCUGCAAGAAACACGCCAAGCAGCCCAACCGAAUGAACAAACAGAAAAUAGAUAGACAAACAAACAAACAGCCAAACAGCCAAUGCUAGGCCCAAGUAGCAGCCGCCGUACAUGUGGGUAUACACACCCACACGACAACAAGUAACCAUAGCAUUGUCACGUGCUCCGCACAGGCAUACAUACAUACAUACACAUGCAUACAUACCCGUAUAGGACGCGGCCUUGGAGGGCCUUCCCUCCGGCCCCGUAUCCGUCCACUGCCACCAGGAGCGGCCCUCCCGCCCCCCCUGGACCUCCUCAGGGUCGUCACCCCCCGGAAGACCCUGUGGUGGCGGGGAGGGUAGUGGCGGGAGGGUGGCGGUCUUGGUGAUGAUGGCGGUGAACAGGAACAGUAAAUGACAGCGACACCACAGCGGCGCUACAUACAUACAUACAUACAUACAUACAUACAUACAUACAUACAUACAUACAUACAUACAUACAUACAUACAUACGCCAGUCGCACCUGCGCUUCAAAGGGUGCAUCCACGAACACGAACUCGACUCGGCUCUUGAGGGCCUUACGCAUGGAGCCCAGCCGGCUGCGGAAGAUCUGCAUGACAACAUAUACAUACGCACAUACGUAAUCGUUUGAUUGUUUGCUCAACUGUUUGAAUCUUUGCCACAUCGCCAGGAAUGCCAUGUAGGUCUUAGCUGUUACCCUCUAACCAGCAAGCUAAUAAGCAGGUAAGCAGGUAAGCAACUAAGCAGCCAGACAGCUAGACACGAGAGUCACGCACCUACCUCGGCGUUCUGCAUGUAGCCGUGCAGACAGAGCAGUUUGAGCUUGGGGACGGAGUCGGCCACUGCACGGGUAAGGCAGGGUUAAUGUACGGCAAAUGAGGAAGGAGCAGCAGUAAGGAUACACAUGUACAUGGCCGAAUUACAACUAGACUCUGAGUAAAUGCGGGCAGCAUGUUACUACAGAUGUAGGCAUAUGUUGAGGAGAGCCGUCAGGGCCACAACAACGGAGUUCUCCACUAGUUGGAUUACUGGUGGAAAUUCAUCAUCGUCUCGUGAUCUGCUCUUCCAGCGAGGACCAGGGUGGUGAGCGGACUUGCAAGCAUGGAUGGGUCAUUGCGCGCAGGGGCCUGACACAUCAGUUCAUGAUGAUAGGAAAUAAAGCUAAUACUUGAUGCCACAAAACAAUGACGUGCACGUGGAAGGAUGCACGCGAGAGAGGACGGUUGAUGGCAAGCCGUGAUGUUCUCACAACUGCAGAUCCCGGAAAUUCCAGCUAUACUCACUUUUGCCACGAUGUGUAAUGAGGCCGUCUCCACCGGUCUGUCUGGUGCCUUCGGCACCCUGGCCCGUGCGGAUGGCGUCGCUGCCGCUGUAGCCGCUCCGAGCGUCCUCGACGGGCUUGGGGGCUGGCUUCAAAGCUGCGUGAGAAAAUCUUAAGCGCCUUGCGGCGGUUGCUCCUAAUGUUAGACCUGGCCGUGCCUGCGCAAUGCGCAAAACUGCCCUGCUGGCUGUGGUGCAGAGCAUGCCAAAUUGAGAUCAGACAGCGAGUCGCUUGUAGAAGUACAAGCCCCUACAAAUUAUGAAAAGCUUUACAUUAUGACUAAACAUAACUUUGGUUUUCCUGUUUCCGUUGCGGCCUGCUGGCCUUUGUACAAAGCUACAAACCGAGCAUCGAAGUUUUAACCUAGACCUUUAGUAAGAAACUUGGGAGCUGUCCAUUGUGAGAAGUAAAUCGGCCGCGAAUUGCAAGUUCACAAUCCUGUGUCAGGUAGGCUAUUUGAACGGCAGCUUCACGUGAUGGGCAAUUAGGUCUGCCUCAGUUUAGAGUAGCAAUCUAAAGUAGCAAUAUGCACUACACUUAAACCUAUCCAGUCUCGUAAAGGAAAAGACCCUCGUAUAGCCGUUCUGCUGGGCGUAUCGGGUGUCGAGCCAUGACGUUGAGCAAGCCCCUGCCGCGCACAAUCACCCUUCAUAACGGAGUUGAGCUUCCGGUGAGGUUGAGACGGCGGCACAUGAGUCCCAAGUCUUGGCGGAACGGCCAAGCUUGUGGGUCAUAUGCUCCAUCCGACUGUCAGGCUACGUAGACAUCACGUACUGCGGCUGCCUCUCAUUAUCGUUUGCGCAUUUGUCCCUUUAUGACGAUCGAAAUGAUUGGGGUUCGGGGCUGUGUCGGCGCCCAUUACGUCAGUUGAUACCUCCUCACGCCAUUGCAUGGCGCCCCCUCCUCUCUCACUAAAGACACACACGGCUCGUCUCUCCAUCAAUCGUACAACACGAUGAAAUCAUCUUUUAGGGUCUCUCUUGCACGUGCUUUACCAAGCCGUGCACUUCAAUCCCAUCCAAAUUCCUUCAUCGUACAAAUUGUGUCGCAUUGUCGUUCCGUAUCGUACCGCAGGCGGUGGGUCUGGGCACGUUCCGAGCUCAGGGUGAUGACGCGCGUACGGCAGUACUGGCGGCGCUACGGUCAGGAUUGCGCCACAUUGACACGGCCUCUAUCUACAAGGUACGCAAUUCAAAAACUUUAAGGGUACGAAUUGUCAAGGGUGGGUAAUCCGUACUUUUAAGGGACAGACCCCACCAAAGGGAUUGGCGAAAAGGGGGGUGUCGGGGGACUGGAAACUCCGCCACCACCAAGCAAACCACCACCAAAAGUGAGUGAGGUCCAGAUGCCUAAUCAGGCGCUGAGACGAGGCGGCCUCGAACGGGACGGAGGGCGCCUGCUGACGAGUGGUAGAGGAGGGGGUAGAGGCACGGCCGCGGGGCAAGAUUAUCGUCGUACCGGCAUUUCUGAUCAGGGGUAAAUGUCGUACGGGCCGUAGGAAGGGAGUCCGCCAGCUUUCCGAUCCAUUCGAGGGGUUCUGCAUCGUCGUACAUCGCCCGGAUCAGUUUACAGCUCUUCCGUACUACCAACCCCACCCCACCCCCCAACCUCCCCCAUCACCCUUUGCUUCAUCACAUGAUUUCCGGAACCAACAUAACCGCCGCGAUAACGAACUAACAACCAACCAACAGAAUGAGGCGCCCAUCCGCCAAGCCCUGGCUGAGAGCGGGGUGCCGCGGGAGGACGUGUUUGUGACGAGCAAGGUCUCACCGUACGAGCAAGGUGCAGGACGAGCCCGUACAGCCGUGGAAGGUAUCAUGGAACGCCUUGGACUGCAGUACUUGGUACGACGUCCUACGAAUGCACCCCGCUUAGACUCCGGUCGUAUAUACCAAUGUGGGUUUAAACUUCCUUUCCCCAACUCCCCACUCCCCGCGCACAGCCCACCCAAACCCACACCCCAACCCCAUCCGACGCCUCAUGUCGUACAUUCGAGAUUUUGAGUCCAUUUUUAGUCGGUGGCACCACCUUUCCAAAACCCGACUUCUUUUCCAACUCCCCUCUGACUCCCCCCCCACCACCACCAUCAUGGAACCCCUUCAAGUCACAAUCUCCCCCCGUCCCCACACAUACACACACAUACACACACACAUACACACACAUACACACACAUACACACACAUACACACACAUACACACACAUACACGCCCAAACCAGCCCAGGGUUCCAGUGCGUCAUCAUCACGUGCCUUUGGACCCCAGAGACCCACCGGUAUUGGAACUGCUGUCGUACACUCCCGUACCCCCCCUACCUCCCCCC
rnacentral:lncRNA from 1 species